rnacentral:rRNA from 1 species
UACGGAGGGUGCAAGCGUUAUCCGGAUUCACUGGGUUUAAAGGGUGCGUAGGUGGGCAGUUAAGUCAGUGGUGAAAUCUCCGAGCUUAACUCGGAAACUGCCAUUGAUACUAUCUGUCUUGAAUAUCGUGGAGGUAAGCGGAAUAUGUCAUGUAGCGGUGAAAUGCUUAGAUAUGACAUAGAACACCAAUUGCGAAGGCAGCUUACUACCCGAAUAUUGACACUGAGGCACGAAAGCGUGGGGAUCAAACAGG